CUCUCCCAUAACUCUAAAUCAGACACUAGCGGUAAUGUUGUGCUCUUUUCACAGAAAGACGCAAAAAAAGAGAAAGCUAGAGCCAAUCUUUUGCGUGCUGCACA
rnacentral:sRNA from 1 species